rnacentral:piRNA from 1 species
CUGGACCUUAAGAGUCCCCUGAAGUGACCG